rnacentral:rRNA from 1 species
GAUGAACGCUAGCGGCAGGCUUAAUACAUGCAAGUCGAGGGGCAGCAUGAACGUAGCAAUACAUUUGAUGGCGACCGGCAAACGGGUGCGGAACACGUACACAACCUUCCUAUAAGUGGGGAAUAGCCCAGAGAAAUUUGGAUUAAUACCCCGUAACAUAAUGAUGUGGCAUCACAUUAUUAUUAUAGCUUCGGCGCUUAUUGAUGGGUGUGCGGCUGAUUAGAUAGUUGGCGGGGUAACGGCCCACCAAGUCUACGAUCAGUAGCCGAUGUGAGAGCAUGAUCAGCCACACGGGCACUGAGACACGGGCCCGACUCCUACGGGAGGCAGCAGUAAGGAAUAUUGGUCAAUGGACGCAAGUCUGAACCAGCCAUGCCGCGUGAAGGAUUAAGGUCCUCUGGAUUGUAAACUUCUUUUAUCUGGGACGAAAAAAGGCUAUUCUUAGUCACUUGACGGUACCAGAUGAAUAAGCACCGGCUAACUCCGUGCCAGCAGCCGCCGUAAAAC